AACGUAGGAGACGAACGUUAUCCGGAGUUACUGGGCGUAAAGGGCGUGUAGGCGGUUUGUUAAGUCUGGCGUGAAAGCUCUCGGCUAAACCGGGAGAGGUCGUUGGAUACUGGCAAACUUGAGGAUGGUAGAGGCGUGUGGAAUUCCGGGUGUGAGUGGUGAAAUGCGUAGAGAUCCGGAGGAACACCAGUGGCGAAGGCGACACGCUGGGCCAUACCUGACGCUAAAGCGCGACAGCAUGGGGAGCAAACGGG
rnacentral:rRNA from 1 species